rnacentral:tRNA from 33 species
GCAUCCGUAGCUCAGCUGGAUAGAGCACUCGGCUUCGAACCGAGCGGUCAGGGGUUCGAAUCCCUUCGGGUGCGCCA